UACGUAGGGUCCGAGCGUUGUCCGGAUUUAUUGGGCGUAAAGAGCUCGUAGGCGGUUCCGUAAGUCAGAUGUGAAAACUCAGGGCUCAACCCGGAGACGCCAUCUGAUACUGCGGUGACUGGAGUCUGGUAGGGGAACACGGAAUUCCUGGUGUAGCGGUGAAAUGCGCAGAUAUCAGGAGGAACACCGGUGGCGAAGGCGGAUCUCUGGGCCUUACCUGACGCUCAGGCGCGAAAGCUAGGGGAGCGAACAGG
rnacentral:rRNA from 1 species